rnacentral:lncRNA from 1 species
GAUUUGGUCUGUGGUAAUGACUGUGUUUCCUUACAGCCAUUCUCCGUCCUGUGUGAAGCUGCUACUAUACACAAACAAGGCAGCACCCGGUCUGGCCUCUGGCAUCCCAGCGAGGUCAGGUCAACUGCAGAAGAGCUCAUUGCAAGAGGUCAUCUGCAUAUUGGAGCAGAGAGAGUCUCGGUUGUCAAAGGACCUUUGCAGCAACUUGAAGCAGCCCAAGAAUCCUUCAAGUUUCUGGAGUUUGUGGUGGUUAUCAGGAGCAUAGGGCCACCAAAGCAGCAUUGAACUGGUACUGCAGAAUUGUUUGGAAAUAUCUCCUUUUCCCUAACAAAUGCAUGACCUUUAACCCACAUAUUUCUCUCUUGUUCUGGACCCAGGAGAGAUGAGUUUGUACACCCA